rnacentral:rRNA from 1 species
GACGAACGCUGGCGGCGUGCUUAACACAUGCAAGUCGAACGGAAAGGCCCUGCUUUUGUGGGGUGCUCGAGUGGCGAACGGGUGAGUAACACGUGAGUAACCUGCCCUUGACUUUGGGAUAACUUCAGGAAACUGGGGCUAAUACCGGAUAGGAGCUCCUGCUGCAUGGUGGGGGUUGGAAAGUUUCGGCGGUUGGGGAUGGACUCGCGGCUUAUCAGCUUGUUGGUGGGGUAGUGGCUUACCAAGGCUUUGACGGGUAGCCGGCCUGAGAGGGUGACCGGCCACAUUGGGACUGAGAUACAGCCCAGACUCCUACGGGAGGCAGCGGUGGGGAAUAUUGCACAAUGGGCGGAAGCCUGAUGCAACAACGCCGCGUGCGGGAUGACGGGCUUCGGGUUGUAAACCGCUUUCGCCUGUGACGAAGCGUGAGUGACGGUAAUGGGUAAAGAAGCACCGGCUAACUACGUG